UUAGGAAUAUUCGUCAAUGGGGGAAACCCUGAACGAGCAAUGCCGCGUGAGUGAUGACGGUCUUUAUGAUUGUAAAACUCUGUUGUGAAGGAAGAACAGCUACUAUAGGUAAUGAUAGUAGUGUGACGGUACUUUACCAGAAAGCCCCUGCUAACUACGUGCCAGCAGCCGCGGUAAUACGUAGGGGGCAAGCGUUAUCCGGAUUUAUUGGGCGUAAAGCGUUCGUAGGCGGUUUGUUUAGUCUAUGAUUUAAGCCUGGGGCUUAACCCCAGUUCGUUGUAGAAACUGGCAGACUUGAGUGUGGUAGAGGCAAGUGGAAUUUCUAGUGUAGCGGUUAAAUGCGUAGAUAUUAGAAGGAACACCAGUGGCGAAGGCGGCUUGCUGGGCCAUUACUGACGCUGAGGAACGAAAGCGUGGGGAGCAAAUAGG
rnacentral:rRNA from 1 species